AGUGAACGCUGGCGGUAGGCCUAACACAUGCAAGUCGAACGGCAGCACAGUAAGAGCUUGCUCUUACGGGUGGCGAGUGGCGGACGGGUGAGGAAUACAUCGGAAUCUACUUUUUCGUGGGGGAUAACGUAGGGAAACUUACGCUAAUACCGCAUACGACCUACGGGUGAAAGCAGGGGAUCUUCGGACCUUGCGCGAUUGAAUGAGCCGAUGUCGGAUUAGCUAGUUGGCGGGGUAAAGGCGCACCAAGGCGACGAUCCGUAGCUGGUCUGAGAGGAUGAUCAGCCACACUGGAACUGAGACACGGUCCAGACUCCUACGGGAGGCAGCAGUGGGGAAUAUUGGACAAUGGGCGCAAGCCUGAUCCAGCCAUACCGCGUGGGUGAAGAAGGCCUUCGGGUUGUAAAGCCCUUUUGUUGGGAAAGAAAAGCAGCAGGUUAAUACCCCGCUGUUCUGACGGUACCCAAAGAAUAAGCUCCGGCUAACUUCGUG
rnacentral:rRNA from 1 species